AACGAACGCUGGCGGCAGGCUUAACACAUGCAAGUCGAGCGCCCCGCAAGGGGAGCGGCAGACGGGUGAGUAACGCGUGGGAAUCUACCCAUCUCUACGGAAUAACGCAUGGAAACGUGUGCUAAUACCGUAUACGUCCUUCGGGAGAAAGAUUUAUCGGAGAUGGAUGAGCCCGCGUUGGAUUAGCUAGUUGGUGGGGUAAAGGCCUACCAAGGCGACGAUCCAUAGCUGGUCCGUGAGGAUGAUCAGCCACACUGGGACUGAGACACGGCCCAGACUCCUACGGGAGGCAGCCGUGGGGAAUAUUGGACAAUGGGCGCAAGCCUGAUCCAGCCAUGCCGCGUGAGUGAUGAAGGCCCUAGGGUUGUAAAGCUCUUUCACCGGUGAAGAUAAUGACGGUAACCGGAGAAGAAGCCCCGGCUAACUUCGUGCCAGCAGCCGCGGUAACAC
rnacentral:rRNA from 1 species